UGAGAGUUUGAUCCUGGCUCAGAACGAACGCUGGCGGCGUGGCUAAGACAUGCAAGUCGCACGGAAAGGCUUUUUCCGAUCCUUCGGGUGAAGAAAAAGCACUCGAGUGGCGAAAGGGCGAGGAAUACUUGGGUAACGUGCCCCCGACACAGGGAUAGCCGCGGGAAACUGCGGAUAAUACCUGAUGACAUCCGAUAACUGCAGGGUUGUCGGAUCAAUGGAUGGCCUCUACUUGUAAGCUAUCGGUCGAGGAGCGGCCCAAGUCCUAUCAGCUAGUUGGUGAGGUAAUGGCUCACCAAGGCGACGACGGGUACCGGGACUGAGAGGUUGACCCGGCGCAUUGGGACUGAGACACUGCCCAGACUCCUACGGGAGGCUGCAGUAACGAAUAUUGGACAAUGGGCGCAAGCCUGAUCCAGCGACGCCGCGUGUAGGAUGAAGUCCUUCGGGAUGUAAACUACUGUCAGGGACUACCACGCGAUACGGGUUAAUACCUCGUAAAGCAGAGGAAUCCCAGAGGAAGUCACGGCUAACUUCGUGCCAGCAGCCGCGGUAAGACGAAGGUGGCAAGCGUUGUUCGGAAUCACUGGGCUUAAAGAGCAUGUAGGCGGAUAAUCAAGCGUCUUGUGAAAGCCCUCGGCUCAACCGGGGAAUUGCUUGGCGAACUGGUUAUCUUGAGGCAGGUAGGGGCAAGUGGAACUCUUGGUGGAGCGGUGGAAUGCGUAGAUAUCAAGAGGAACGCCAGAGGCGAAAGCGACUUG
rnacentral:rRNA from 1 species